UUGAUUACUCGGUCAGACCUGGAUUAUUUUAUAUCUGCCUGUUGAAUUCUUACAUUUUGAGCGAAUUAUAGUUGACAUGUCAAUGAAGAUCAAAAGCUUGAAUGUGAACAGAGGAAGGGGUUGUACGUGGUCUGUAAAUACUGGCGAUAUCAGAUCAAGCAUUGGAAUAAGAUUUUUAUCGGGGGAGAACACCCAACAGAAAGACCCAUGAUUCACCAACUGGCGCACUGAAACGGGAGAUUCAUGUCACCUUCAUCAGUUCUUUCUUUAAUCACUGGACACCAUUAAGGGAAAGACCCUCAGAUAACAGGAUAAAUGCGGCUGCAGGUUUUGACAGAUUGGACUAGUUAACUUACUUCAACAACUUCUGGAUGAGGGUUUUGACAAGUAAGUUGCUGAAUUAGUGCUGGGCGGUUUGACCAAAAAUUUAUAUUAGACAAGCUGAAUCCCUUAGUUUUUU